GUAGUCCACGCCGUAAACUAUGGAUACUAGGUGUCCGGGAUGUUAACCUCCUGGGUACCGUAGCUCACGCAUUAAGUAUCCCGCCUGGGGAGUACGGUCGCAAGACUAAAACUCAAAGGAAUUGACGGGGGCCCGCACAAGCGGUGGAGUAUGUGGUUUAAUUCGAAGCAACGCGCAGAACCUUACCUGGGUUUGACAUCCCACGAUCGCAGCAGAGAUGUUGUUUUCCCUUCGGGGACGUGGAGACAGGUGCUGCAUGGCUGUCGUCAGCUCGUGUCGUAAGAUGUUGGGUUAAGUCCCGCAACGAGCGCAACCCUUGUCCUUAGUUGCCAGCAUUAAGUUGGGCACUCUGAGGAGACUGCCGGUGUUAAACCGGA
rnacentral:rRNA from 1 species